rnacentral:lncRNA from 1 species
UGCUAUAGUUUGCAAAAAUGAAUAUCUUUGUUUAUGUAUUAUAGUUUUGAAGAUAUGGAUCUCGUGGAUACGGAUAGCGCGUGAGCGGGAAACAAAAGACGUAUAUGGCACACAUUGCAAUGUUUGUAAACAUUAUCUACAGGAUAUUUUUGGCGGAUUAGCCACCGAACAUUUAAUGAAAUUUGAACUAUUGCGUGAGUGCAGACAAGCGUUCACCGUUAGCCAUAGCCAUUGACUUCUUCGACGUAUUAGAUUGGUGUUUUAUUUCAAUUGAAUUGGCCAUGCGCGGCUCACAC